GAUGAACGCUAGCGAUAGGCUUAACACAUGCAAGUCGAGGGUCCGGCGCACGGGUGCGUAACGCGUAUGCAUCUUGCCUCACAGAGGGGGAUAACCCGUCGAAAGACGGACUAAUACCGCGUACUGUGAGCUCGGCAUGCGUCCCAUUCGAUAGUUGGUGAGGUAACGGCUCACCAAGGCAACGAUGGGUAGGGGAAAGGAGAGGUUGAACCCCCGCACAGGUACUGAGACACGGACCAGACCGCUACGGGAGGCAGCAGUGAGGAAUAUUGGUCAAUGGGCGAGAGCCUGAACCAGCCAAGUGGAGGGAAGGAUGACUGUCUAUGGAUUGUAAACUACUUUUGUAGGAGAAUAUGUACCCUACGAAUAAGCAGCGGCUAACUCCGUGCCAGCCGCCGCGGUAAUUC
rnacentral:rRNA from 1 species